GAUGAUUAUUGCUAAACUAAUUGUAUUGUUGCUAUUAUGUACAUUGUUGACUAUUGUUGAUGGAAAACUAAUAUGCAGUGAGGAAGGCCAACCCUGUAACAAUAAAGUACAUUGUUGUUAUAACGAUGCUAAAUGUAUCAAGAUGAAAAGAUCGGAAAAUUAUAAAUGCUAUACAAAGUCUGAUAAUACCUGUUAUAAACCAGGCGAACCCUGUACAGAUAACUAUCAUUGUUGUAACAAUUAUUGUCGUAAUUUUAAUGGUAGAUGGGAAUGCUGGAUUGAUAAAUGCCUGAAACCGGGUAGUUUGUGUAGAAAUAAUCAUGAUUGUUGCGAUAAUUAUUGUCAACAAGAUGAAUUAGAUAAACAAAUGAAAUGCUAUAUGGAAAAACCAAUAAAUAAUUGCACUAAACAAGGUAAACCAUGUAUAACUGACCAGGAUUGUUGUAUUGGUUAUUGUUUUAAUAAUAAAAUAUGCUAUACUAAUCCAGUGUUAAAAAGACUGAUACCUUUUACCAAAUAACUAAUUAAUAAUAAGAUAAACUAGUAAUCAAAUUAAU